AGAAAAGCGGAAAAGAGAUUGGUUGGAGCAGGCAGUUCUUGCUAUACCUCAGUGAAAGGCAGCAGGCCCCUAAGCUUUUCUCCCUCCGUCGACCUCAAAACACAUCAGUACUGUUAAAUCAAGUACCGAUUGCAAUCUAUAUCAACUGAAUUAGAUCUGUGUUCUCUUGUGAAAAAAAUAUGUUCACUACUGUGUGUGUGUGUGUGUGUGUGAGAGAGUUUCAUGAUAACACACAAUUUAAAUCAGGAGAGGAUUUAAUAAACUGCACAAAAAGCCUUGAUGUUUCACAUAAAUAUCCCAAAUCAAUACAGUUUCACCGUCCCUGCACAAAAAAAAGGGCCCAACAGUCAUUUCAACAUCACCUGUAUAAGCCACACAAAGACAAUGGUUUACAAGAGAUUAAUUUAAAACAGCAAACACUGAACAGAACAAUCUACAGUAUUAAUAAGACAGUGUUUCAUAUGGUACCCUAUUCCCUAUGUAGUGCACUACUUUAGACAAGGGUACAUAGGGUAGUGCACCAGGGUCCAUAAGGUAGUGUACUACAUUAGACCGCGGACCAUAGUGUAGUGCACUACUUUAGACCAGGGUCCAUAAGGUAGAGUACUACAUUAGACCGCGGCCUAUAGGGUAGUGCACUACUUUAUUCCAGGGUCCAUAAGGUAGUGUACUACAUUAGACCGCGGACCAUAGUGUAGUGCACUACUUUAGACCAGGGUCCAUAAGGUAGAGUACUACAUUAGACCGCGGCCUAUAGGGUAGUGCACUACUUUAUUCCAGGGUCACUAUAUAGGGAAUAUGAUGCCAUUUGGGACACAACAGAUGAUUGACAGUCGGUAGAGGAGUCUAACCAGAAGUAGUUUAUAUGACCCUUUAUUUAUAAAGCCUCCACUCAACCAAGAUGGGCUAUUUACAAGUCAUUUGUUAGAAUGUUUCCUACUAAAAACAUAAUUCUUAAAUCUUUAUAAACUAUUUCCGUGUUUUAAA